UACGAAGGGUGCUAGCGUUGUUCGGAAUUACUGGGCGUAAAGAGCGCGUAGGCGGUUAUACAAGUCAGAGGUGAAAUCCCGGAGCUUAACUCCGGAACUGCCUUUGAAACUGUAUAGCUGGAGUAUGUGAGGGGAUAGCGGAAUUCCUAAUGUAGAGGUGAAAUUCGUAGAUAUUAGGAGGAACACCGGUGGCGAAGGCGGCUAUCUGGCACAUUACUGACGCUGAGGCGCGAAAGCGUGGGGAUCAAACAGG
rnacentral:rRNA from 1 species